AACCAGGUUAGCGUAGCGGUUUGGGAGAUGGACAUUGACUCUGGAGACCAGGGUUCGAUUCCCUGCUUGGCCA